GGCUUGGUAAUUGGAAUGAGGGAGAGUUAAACGGACCAUCGAGUAUCCAUUGGAGGGCAAGUCUGGUGCCAGCAGCUGCGGUAAUACCAGCUCCAAUAGCGUAUAUUAAAGUUGUUGCAGUUAAGAAGCUCGUAGUUGGACUUGUGUGCGCCGUCCGCGGGUGGCCUGCGCCCAAAAGGGCGUUUCGGUUCGGCCCCGGUGGCGCCUUGAAAUCUGCAGCUGGGGGGACGUUGGCCUUAACUGGUCGGCGACCGCACGCCGGCUGCUCGGUUACUGUGAGAAAAUUAGAGUGUUCAAGGCAGGCAUUGGGUGCAAUUGAAUACAUUAGCAUGGAAUAAUAAAUAUGGCUCCUGCCGUAUUUUGUUGGUUUUGACUGGUGGGAGUAAUGAUUGAUAGGGACGGUUGGGGGUGCUAGUAUUGAGCGGCCAGAGGUGAAAUUCAUGGAUUCGCUCAAGACUAACUUAUGCGAAAGCAUUCACCAAGGACGUCCUCUUUAAUCAAGAACGAAAGUUGGGGGAUCGAAGACGAUCAGAUACCGUCGUAGUCUCAACCAUAAACUAUGUCGACUUGGGAUCGGCGGUAGUUUUUUCAUUAAGACACUGUCGGGACCACGGGAGAAAUCAAAGUGUCAGGACUCUGGGGGAAGUAUGGUCGCAAGGCUGAAACUUGAAGGAAUUGACGGAAGGGCACCACCAGGAGUGGAGCCUGCGGCUUAAUUUGACCCAACACGGGGAAACUUACCAGGUCCAGAGAUGUAGAGGAUUAACAGAUUGAAGCUCUUUCUUGAUCACUUCGGUGGUGGUGCAUGGCCGUUCUUAGUUGGUGGAGUGAUUUGUCUGGUUAAUUCCGUUAACGAACGAGACCUCAGCCUGCUAGUGUAGUCGGCUGGAUUGCCUUUGGCGAUCCGUGAUUUCGACUUCUUAGAGGGACAAUCGACGCGCAGUCGAUGGAAGUUUGAGGCAAUAACAGGUCUGUGAUGCCCUUAGAUGUUCUGGGCCGCACGCGCGCUACACUGCUGGGCUCAGCGAGUUUUACUUGGCCGAGAGGCCCGGUUAAUCUUGUGAAAUCCCAGCGUGCUUGGGCUCGCCUCCUGCAACUGGAGGCGCCAACGAGGAAUUCCUAGUAGACGCAGGUCAUCAACCUGCAUCGAUUACGUCCCUGCCCUUUGUACACACCGCCCGUCGUUCCAUAAGAGUGAGGCAUCCGGUGAAUUCUCGGGAGAGCCUGGGCGUGGCCAGCAAUGGUCUGCUCGGGUUUGAACUUGCAUAAACUUGGUGCCUAUGAUUAGGG
rnacentral:rRNA from 1 species